rnacentral:siRNA from 1 species
UAAGGAAAACUUCAGGGCUUC